GACGAACGCUGGCGGCGUGCUUAACACAUGCAAGUCGAACGGAAAGGCCCUGCUUGCGUGGUGUGCUCGAGUGGCGAACGGGUGAGUAACACGUGUGUAACCUGCUCUUGUCUUUGGUAUAACUUCAGGAAACGGGGGCUAAUACCGGAUAGGAGAUCCUGCUGGAUGGUGGGGGUUGGAAAGUUUCGGCGGGUGGGGAUGGACGCGCGGCUUAUAGGCUUGUUGGUGGGGUAGUGGCUUACCAAGCGUUUGACGGGUAGCCGGCCUGGGAGGGGGAACGGCCACAUUGGGCCUGGGAUAGGGCCCAGACUCCAAUGGGGGGCAGUGGUGGGAAGUAUGACCCAGUGGGCGGACGCCGGUGGAGGCAACGCCGGGUGCGGAAUGCCGGCCUUCGGGUUGUAAACCGCUUUCGCCUGUGACGAAGCGUGAGUGACGGUACUGGGUGAAGAAGCACCGGCUAACUACGUG
rnacentral:rRNA from 1 species